rnacentral:rRNA from 1 species
AUUGAACGCUGGCGGCAUGCUUUACACAUGCAAGUCGAACGGCAGCGCGGGGGCAACCCUGGCGGCGAGUGGCGAACGGGUGAGUAAUGCAUCGGAACGUAUCCUGUAAUGGGGGAUAACGUAGCGAAAGUUACGCUAAUACCGCAUACGCUCGAGAGAGGAAAGUGGGGGAUCGCAAGACCUCACGUUAUAGGAGCGGCCGAUGUCCGAUUAGCUAGUUGGUGGGGUAAAGGCCUACCAAGGCGACGAUCGGUAGCUGGUCUGAGAGGAUGAUCAGCCACACUGGGACUGAGACACGGCCCAGACUCCUACGGAGGCAGCAGUGGGGAAUUUUGGACAAUGGGCGAAAGCCUGAUCCAGCCAUGCCGCGU